UGGUCUAUAUAUUGUAUAAAGCAUGCAAGGCGAUAUUAUUCAGCAAUAAAAAGGAAUUAUAUUCGGAUACAUGCUACAACAUGAACCAACUUGGAAAGAUGCCAAGUGGACGGAGCCAGUCACAAGAGACCACAUGUGACAUUACUCGGCUGAUUCGCCAGGGUGACUCCUGUUCUCUGGGUGCUUUCCAGCAGCCCCUGCUCCCACCACCCCACUACAUGGUCUCCGAUCAUGGUGGCCUCCUUGUAGGCGACCACCACACCUGAUGUCUGCGUUCUGGAACACAGGCUGGUUCUCGGUCCUCCUGCCACCCAACCACCCCCUGGCCGGCGUCUGGCAGGUUGCUCCCUUAUGCUCACCACUGCUGCUGCCCUGGCCAGGCCCUCCUCCACCUGGUUGGCUGCUCCUUCUUCACCCCUGCUGCUCCCGCAUCCAGUCUUUCUCAUCCCUCAGCCCAGACUUCCCUCCUGGCUCCAGUCCCUCCCGCACCACUGCCCGCUUGGUCUCCAACUUCACACUCGGAAACUGAGCUCCUGUUACCCACACUCGCCACUCAAAACCGCAACCAACAAACAACCACCACAACAAACCGGGCCCCGCUUCAUCUCCCCUGCCUCUGGGUCAUCUCCGGCUGCUGUCCCCGGCCCUCGCUCUUCCAGCCACAUCGGCUCCUCCCAGCUCCAUCACCAGGCUAGGGCCAUCCCCACCCCAGGGCAUUUGCACUUGUUGCUUCCUCUGCCUUGGAUGGUCUUUUCCCAAAUAUCUGCCUCAUUUCUUGCAGGGCUUGACUCAAGUUCACCUUUUCAGGGACACCUGGCCUGGUCACUCGAUCUGCGAUUGCAGCCACCCAGCCCUCACCGAGCCCCUCCCUGAAUUGUUAUCUGUAGCCCUCAGUCCUUCUAACAUCCUCUGUUAUAUACUUGUCCCCACCCCACCCCCACGGAGAGGAUCCACAUCAAGGACAGCGAUGAGAUCAUCUCUUCAGAAAACAAAUCAACAGACGAAUGAAUAAAUAAGAUGUGGUGUGUA